CCAGAAUCAGGGGAAUAAAUCCAGAAAUAAUCAGCGGCGCGUUUAAACUACUAUUAGUACUCUUACCUCAAGAAACUGUCAGAAUAAGGGAAUAUGAAUUAACGCACAUUUUUCAAUAACGUUAAUUGGGUCAUUAAAUGUAACACAAUCACGUUUUCUUCCCAAAUUGGAAGUUCUAGAAGGACAAAUCAACAUUUUGAGCUAAAAUCAGGAACCUCUGGGAGAGGGGUGUAUCGCCCUUCUGUAAAUACAGCACAAGCGUAUACAUAUAGUAUUCUCUAUUGACUGUUGUAGUGCGAUACAUGCUGCCUGUGUUGAUCUGCGAUAGAUUAUUGUAGACUGAGUAAAAUGGCUGCUCCCAUGUGAAUCCAACAAGAGGAUUUGCAUAAUAUAGCUUUCUAUAACACUGUCUAUAACGCAUUUAUUUGCCUGUACUGGGAUGUUAAAUGGCACUCGGGAGAUUGGCGAAAGCUGUAUUACAGCCAAAAGAAUGGACCGUUAUGUCUGUUUUUCAGCGAUCGCAAAUGUGCCGUAACCUUUGCUUCACUGUCGUUUUGGGUACCCGGCCGUUCAAUGGUAGCUUGGGGAGUAUGGCAGAACAAGUUCAAUCUCGAAACCUUUGUAAUCAUAGCAUUCUCCUGCAACCAGGUAAUCAUAGCAUUCUCCUGCAACAAGUCAGGAAUUAUGCCAGGAUUACAAGAAGAAAGCAAG